rnacentral:sRNA from 1 species
UAAAUACACAGUGCUUGUCCUUGGCCUUUCUGUGGGCAUACCAGUUUCAGCUGCAGCUCAGUGCGGAAAGCGUGGGGGAGGUGUAUAUAAAGAGUACCGAGACUGGCCAGUACUUGGCCAUGGACACCGACGGGCUUUUAUACGGCUCACAGACACCAAAUGAGGAAUGUUUGUUCCUGGAAAGGCUGGAGGAGAACCAUUACAACACCUAUAUAUCCAAGAAGCAUGCAGAGAAGAAUUGGUUUGUUGGCCUCAAGAAGAAUGGAAGCUGCAAACGCGGUCCUCGGACUCACUAUGGCCAGAAAGCAAUCUUGUUUCUCCCCCUGCCAGUCUCUUCCGAUUAAAGAGAUCUGUUCUGGGUGUUGACCACUCCAGAGAAGCUUCGAGGGGU